AGGGUUCGAUCCUGGCUCAGGAUGAACGCUAGCGGCAGGCUUAACACAUGCAAGUCGAGGGGUAACAGGAGUGCUUGCACUCGCUGACGACCGGCGCACGGGUGCGUAACGCGUAUAGAACCUACCUUUUACUGAGGGAUAGCCUUUAGAAAUGAAGAUUAAUACCUCAUGGUAUUGUAAACUGGCAUCGGUUUAUAAUUAAAGAUUUAUUGGUAAAAGAUGGCUAUGCGUCCUAUUAGCUAGAUGGUAAGGUAACGGCUUACCAUGGCAACGAUAGGUAGGGGCCCUGAGAGGGGGAUCCCCCACACUGGUACUGAGACACGGACCAGACUCCUGCGGGAGGCAGCAGUGAGGAAUAUUGGGCAAUGGAGGCAACUCUGACCCAGCCAUGCCGCGUGCAGGAAGACUGCCCUAUGGGUUGUAAACUGCUUUUAUACAGGAAGAAACACACCUACGUGUAGGUGCUUGACGGUACUGUAAGAAUAAGCACCGGCUAACUCCGUGCCAGCCGCCGCGGUAAUAC
rnacentral:rRNA from 1 species